AUGGCUGGCAAACUCCUCCGCCGUGGGUGCCCGAAUUGCAAUCUCUGCCCGCUAUGCCAACAAGUUCCAGAAUCGGCGGCCCACCUCCUUUUCCAAUGUCGGUAUACCAUUCGAGUCUGGGGCAUGAUCAAAGGUUGGCUGGCGCUUCAUGAUGUUCGACCCGAUGAGUGGAUUGGUCUGGACUCGGUUAAGGAUUGGUGGAUUCGGAAUGCCACAAAGCAAACUCCAUCGAGAAGGCCGCUUAUCUCGCUGAUGAUGCUCAUCUCUUGGGAAAUUUGGAAGGAACGAAAUGCUCGAGUUUUCUGCAACACUGCAGUCCCGGUGGGAGUGUUGGUCGCUAAGAUCAAAGAGGAGUGUUCGCUUUGGAGCUUUGUAGGAGCAAAAUAUUUGAGUAACAUUAUGCCGCGAGAGUGA
rnacentral:rRNA from 1 species